GACGGUGGCUCAGUGGUUAUAGCGCCCGCCUCAUGAACGGGAGGUCGUGGGUUCGAACCCCGGCCGAGUCA
rfam:Strongylocentrotus purpuratus Contig122024_fixed, whole genome shotgun sequence.